rnacentral:lncRNA from 1 species
AGAGUUUCAGAAGAUAAUAUAAGGGGCUCGCCCUAUCUAGAGGUUCUCUAUCUCUCUUAUCUCUCUAGGUUAAGGAUAAGAGGCCUAAGGAAGGCUAGGGCAUUGAGGCCUUAACAAUUUGGUUCUAAUUUGAAAUCUAUAUGCUUUUGAAGGGUUUUGCCAUACUAAUAGAAUCAAGAUGGAUCAUUGAUCCUGAAUAUCAUUGGAAGGAGGAGACUCGGUGUGGCUUGUACUAUACGUGGUUGAAGUAAUCUCCAACAAUUUUACUUUUUUUUUUUUAAGUAUUUGUUGUGGUGUUCUAUUCCCAUAAAACAAUAUGUAAAGUUUUAUUUAUUGAGUAAAUGAGUUG